CAGCUUCCUCUUCAGGUGUCAAUAAUUACCAGCUGCUACCAAUAACCUGGAGCUCACUAACUUAACUGUGAGAAACCAGAAUGGCAGUGAGUUGCUCUCUGCAGGAAACGAGAUGUCCGAUGGGCGCUGGACAUGGUUUGAAGCAGCUGCUUAAGUCAUCUCCAGUACUCUGGGUCCUUUAAGGACCAGCACUCAUCACUAUAGAUGGAGAUUAUGGAAGCAAUAAGCCUUGGAGCGGACCUUUUACAAACCACCUUCGAUGUGACUAGGGCUAUAAAUAAAUUGUCACCUCGUCGGCAGUGCAGCAUUCACAUCACUAAUUUUUCAGAUCGUUACACUCUGGAGAAUCCUAGGACAUACUCGUGCAGAGGAAGCUGUGUUGAUCCUUUGCCUCCAAGAAUUCUACCAUCCUCGUCUGGAGGCGCAGUGUUUGCCAAAACGCCCCGCACUGGACGUGGGUUUUCUGGCAUCUCUACCUACGAUAUCCUUGAUACCUCCACAGGGGAGGCCUCUGAGCAAAUGGCUGUCAUAUUCAAGGUGCCAUAUGACUUGCACUUUAAGGCAAACGAAUAUGCCAUAGGAGUGUUUGAUGUCAACCAGAGGUUCAAAAAGUAUCUUUAUGAAAAUAUGAAGAAGGAAAUGGAAACAACAGCCACUAAAGGCCAAGCAAAGGGCCCCUCUUUGACUUACAAGAGCCAGAAUGUUACUAUCAGGGCCUCAAUGUCCGAUUGCACUGCUCCUGUUAUAAAGGUGCAUGUAAGUGAUGCCUAAGAACCAUAAUUAUUAUCUGGAUCAUACUUAAAUGCGAGCAAUAAACUAGCAACUGUUUGGCUGAAUUAAUGACCAACGGGCUUUUCCUUUUUUUUGCGGAAUAUUUCUAGAUGGACAUGAGGAAGAGUUUGACACUAGUAAACAGUAACUUAACUCCUUAACAUUCCCAGGUCACGUUUGGGAGGGGAAAACUUGGAUAAGUAUUUUACUAAACAUGUUAAAACUGCUUAGAUUGCAAAAACUGGAUUAAACUUGAAACACUUUGUAGGCCAUCAGAAUAGGACACUAUUUGAUAGUUCACAUGCAUUUGUUCUCACAGCAGGACUUUGGCUUUGAUAAUAGAAUACAAAGCUGCACCCAAAUUAAUUCGCCUGAGUGGUGUCUUGUCUGUCUUUAGACUUUUGAUUUUGGCUAAUUUGAAAAUUAGUUCCCCUCUGUGUCUGCACUCUGGUUUUGCUGACUUUUCCUGUUUUGAUUUGACUGCCAUAAUUGAUGCAUUGCUUUUUACUUUUUUGUUUUUACUCCUGCUUUUCUCAUUUGAAAAGCCUUGAGGGAAUUGUUUAUCCUGCCCACAUUAGAAAUAAACUAACCCUUUUUACAA